UACGUAGGGGGCAAGCGUUGUCCGGAAUGACUGGGCGUAAAGCGCGCGCAGGCGGUCUUUCGCGUCUGGGGUGAAAGGUCAGGGCUCAACCCUGACAUGGCCUUGGAAACGGGGAGACUUGAGGGUCGGAGAGGUCAGGGGAAUUCCACGUGUAGCGGUGAAAUGCGUAGAGAUGUGGAGGAAUACCAGUGGCGAAGGCGCCUGACUGGACGAAACCUGACGCUGAGGCGCGAAGGCGUGGGGAGCAAACAGG
rnacentral:rRNA from 1 species